ACACAUUCCAGCCAAUCAGCAGCAGACCCUCCCUCCCUCCCAGACCCUCCCACCUCCUGGACAGCAUCCAUUUUACAUUCAUUGUGAAGCUGCAUUCUUACUGAGCUGUCCAGGAGGUGGGAGGGUCUGGGAGGGAGGGUCUGCUGCUGAUUAGACAAUUGUC
rnacentral:miRNA from 1 species